GCCAUUAAUACACAUAACUCAGAUGGUAAAGCAUGAGAUUCUUAAUCUCAGAGUUGUGGGUUCAAGCCCCAGAUUGGGCA